GUGGGGAAUCUUAGACAAUGGGCGCAAGCCUGAUCUAGCCAUGCCGCGUGAGCGAUGAAGGCCUUAGGGUUGUAAAGCUCUUUCGCUGGGGAAGAUAAUGACGGUAUCCGGAGAAGAAGCCCCGGCUAACUUCGUGCCAGCAGCCGCGGUAAUACGAAGGGGGCUAGCGUUGUUCGGAAUUACUGGGCGUAAAGCGCACGUAGGCGGACAUUUAAGUCAGGGGUGAAAUCCCGGGGCUCAACCCCGGAACUGCCUUUGAUACUGGGUGUCUGGAGUAUGGAAGAGGUAAGUGGAAUUCCGAGUGUAGAGGUGAAAUUCGUAGAUAUUCGGAGGAACACCAGUGGCGAAGGCGGCUUACUGGUCCAUUACUGACGCUGAGGUGCGAAAGCGUGGGGAGCAAACAGGAUUAGAUACCCCUGUAGUCC
rnacentral:rRNA from 1 species